ACCCGCUGAACUUAAGCAUAUCAAUAAGCGGAGGAAAAGAAACCAACAGGGAUUACCUCAGUAACGGCGAGUGAAGCGGUAACAGCUCAAAUUUGAAAUCUGGUCCCCUCUGGGGGCCCGAGUUGUAAUUUGAAGAGGAUGCUUUUGGCGAGGCGCCUUCCGAGUGCCCUGGAACGGGACGCCACAGAGGGUGAGAGCCCCGUAUGGUAGGACGCCGAGCCUCUGUAAAGCUCCUUCGACGAGUCGAGUAGCUUGGGAAUGCUGCUCAAAAUGGGAGGUAAACCCCUUCUAAAGCUAAAUAUUGGCCAGAGACCGAUAGCGCACAAGUAGAGUGAUCGAAAGAUGAAAAGCACUUUGAAAAGAGAGUUAAACAGCACGUGAAAUUGUUGAAAGGGAAGCGCUUGCGACCAGACUUGCGCCCGUCGGAUCAACCGUCCCUCGUGGGCGGCGCACUCCGGCGGGCUCAGGCCAGCAUCAGUUUUCCUGGGGGUAGAAAGGCGGUGGGAAUGUAGCUCUUCGGAGUGUUAUAGCCCGCCGCGUAAUGCCCUCGGGGGGACUGAGGACCGCGCGUAUGCAAGGAUGCUGGCGUAAUGGUCGUCAGCGACCCGUCUUGAAACACGGACCAAGGAGUCGUCCUAAUAUGCGAGUGUACGGGUGUAAAACCCCUGCGCGUAAUGAAAGUGAACGGAGGUGAGAGCUUCGGCGCAUCAUCGACCGAUCCUGAUGUUCUCGGAUGGAUUUGAGUAAGAGCAUAUUGGGCCGGACCCGAAAGAAGGUGAACUAUGCCUGUAUAGGGUGAAGCCAGAGGAAACUCUGGUGGAGGCUCGCAGCGGUUCUGACGUGCAAAUCGAUCGUCAAAUAUGGGCAUGGGGGCGAAAGACUAAUCGAACCUUCUAGUAGCUGGUUUCCGCCGAAGUUUCCCUCAGGAUAGCAGUGUUGAAUUCUCAGUUUUAUGAGGUAAAGCGAAUGAUUAGGGACUCGGGGGCGCUAUUUAGCCUUCAUCCAUUCUCAAACUUUAAAUAUGUAAGAAGCCCUUGUUACUUCGGUGAACGUGGGCCUUCGAAUGUAUCAACACUAGUGGGCCAUUUUUGGUAAGCAGAACUGGCGAUGCGGGAUGAACCGAUCGCGGGGAUAAGGUGCCGGAGUGGACGCUCAUCAGACACCACAAAAGGUGUUAUCACAUCUUGACAGCAGGACGGUGGCCAUGGAAGUCGGAAUCCGCUAAGGACUGUGUAACAACUCACCUGCCGAAUGUGAUAGCCCUGAAAAUGGAUGGCGCUCAAGCGUCCCACCCAUACCCCGCCCUCAGGGUAGACACGAUGCCCUGAGGAGUAGGCGGACGUGGGGGUCAGUGACGAAGCCUAGGGCGUGAGCCCGGGUCGAACGGCCCCUAGUGCAGAUCUUGGUGGUAGUA
rnacentral:rRNA from 1 species